UGGGGAAUCUUGCGCAAUGGGCGAAAGCCUGACGCAGCGACGCCGCGUGCGGGAUGACGGCCUUCGGUUGUAAACCGCUUUCAGCAGGGACGAGGCCGCUAAGGUGACGGUACCUGCAGAAGAAGCCCCGGCUAACUACGUGCC
rnacentral:rRNA from 1 species